rnacentral:rRNA from 1 species
UCAGAUUGAACGCUGGCGGCAUGCUUUACACAUGCAAGUCGAACGGUAACAGGCCGCAAGGUGCUGACGAGUGGCGAACGGGUGAGUAAUGCAUCGGAACGUGCCCAGUCGUGGGGGAUAACGCAGCGAAAGCUGUGCUAAUACCGCAUACGAUCUACGGAUGAAAGCGGGGGAUCGCAAGACCUCGCGCGGACGGAGCGGCCGAUGGCAGAUUAGGUAGUUGGUGGGAUAAAAGCUUACCAAGCCGACGAUCUGUAGCUGGUCUGAGAGGACGACCAGCCACACUGGGACUGAGACACGGCCCAGACUCCUACGGGAGGCAGCAGUGGGGAAUUUUGGACAAUGGGCGAAAGCCUGAUCCAGCCAUGCCGCGUGCAGGAUGAAGGCCUUCGGGUUGUAAACUGCUUUUGUACGGAACGAAAAAGUCUUCUCUAAUACAGGGGGCGAAUGACGGUACCGUAAGAAUAAGCACCGGCUAACUACGUG